GUUAAUUCUUUUUUUUUUUUUUAAAUAAGAAUUGUUGCUUAAGGUUUUGAUACUUUGUAUCUUUUUAAAGUCUUGGUUGUUAUUUUGUGUGCACUUAUGGUAUGGAAACACUUCAUAGACUUUACCUCCAGUUUUUCAUUUAAUACUAUCUUAUGGACAUGUUCUUAUAUCUUCAAAUACUCUUUAAAAAUAUGAGUUAGCAGUCUUGGUGUAGAUCAUUUUAAACGUGUUUCUUGGACUUGGGAUGGCAUAGGGUGUUUGCUUAUCACCUGCAAGGCAAUGGCUGUCUCCCUGGUAGUAGACAUGCACACCCCACAUGAAUUUCAUAAUUAGUUUCUUUAAAAACACGUAUAGU
rnacentral:lncRNA from 1 species